GGGUGGUCUGACUGUGACUUCUGUCACUCCAUUGAUCGCUAGGGUUGAUUUGGCUGAUUUGGCCCUCCACGUGCCUCCCUCCCAAAGCUGCAUGCUUGUUCGAAGAGGACAACCUUCAUUUAUAGAGGAGAACCAGCCUUUAGUCAAGGCUAUACGAGCAGCUGCAGGCCCCUGCUAGAACCUCCAGUCAAGACCUCAGUGUCCAUUUGCAGGGGAACUGAGGGUAAUCAAGCUUCCAAGACUGCAGACACAUCCAAAUGAGGUGCUGCAUGAGGCAGUCUCCCUUUCUUU
rnacentral:snRNA from 1 species